AUGGACAUGAGGGUCCCUGCUCAGCUCCUGGGGAUCCUGCUGCUCUGGCUCCCAGAGGUUUUUGCUGAGGAGAAAGUAAUUAAGCUGAUAUUGUGGAACACGUUUGGCCAAAGGACAAAACUGGAGAUUACCCGGUCUGACGCUCAUCCGACUGUUUCCAACUUCACACCAUCUCAAGAGCAACUGAACUCUGGAUCUGCCUCUGUCGUGUGCUUUCUGAACAAAUUCUACGCCAAAUAUUACAAAGUCCAGUGGAACAUAGACAAUGUUGUUAAAGAGGGUGACCUAGUGGAAAGUUAUACAGAACAGGACAGCACAGACAGCAACUACAGCCUCAGCAGCACCCUGACGAUGACCAGUGCAGAGUAUAACAGCCAUAAUGUCUAUACCUGCAAGGCCACACAUGACAGACUGAGCUCGCCUGUGGUCAGGAGCUUCAGCAAGCAAGAGUGUUAGGCCAAGAGGCCUGCCAGGCACCUCCACCUACCCCUCAGGCCCAGGCUUACCCCUCCUUCCUUAGACCCCAGGCCCUUUUCCCACCAGGGACACACCCCUACUGCAGUUCUCCAGCCCCUCUGCCC